GCCUGCAUGAAGUCGGAAUUGCUAGUAAUCGCGGAUCAGCAUGCCGCGGUGAAUACGUUCCCGGGCCUUGUACACACCGCCCGUCACACCAUGGGAGCCGGUAAUACCCGAAGUCAGUAGUCCAACCACGUGAGGACGCUGCCGAAGGUAGGAUUGGCGACUGGGGUGAAGUCGUAACAAGGUACC
rnacentral:rRNA from 1 species